rnacentral:rRNA from 1 species
AUUGAACGCUGGCGGUAGGCCUAACACAUGCAAGUCGAACGGCAGCACAGUAAGAGCUUGCUCUUACGGGUGGCGAGUGGCGGACGGGUGAGGAAUACAUCGGAAUCUACUUUUUCGUGGGGGAUAACGUAGGGAAACUUACGCUAAUACCGCAUACGACCUACGGGUGAAAGCAGGGGAUCUUCCGACCUUGCGCGAUUGAAUGAGCCGAUGUCGGAUUAGCUAGUUGGCGGGGUAAAGGCCCACCAAGGCGACGAUCCGUAGCUGGUCUGAGAGGAUGAUCAGCCACACUGGAACUGAGACACGGUCCAGACUCCUACGGGAGGCAGCAGUGGGGAAUAUUGGACAAUGGGCGCAAGCCUGAUCCAGCCAUACCGCGUGGGUGAAGAAGGCCUUCGGGUUGUAAAGCCCUUUUGUUGGGAAAGAAAAGCAGCAGGUUAAUACCCCGCUGUUCUGACGGUACCCAAAGAAUAAGCACCGGCUAACUUCGUG